rnacentral:rRNA from 1 species
GACGAACGCUGGCGGCGUGCUUAACACAUGCAAGUCGAACGGAAAGGCCCUGCUUUUGUGGGGUGCUCGAGUGGCGAACGGGUGAGUAACACGUGAGUAACCUGCCCCUGACUUUGGGGGAACUUCAGGAAACUGGGGCUAAUACCGGAUAGGAUCUCUUGCAGCAUGGGGGGGGUUGGAAAGUUUCGGCGGUUGGGGAAGGACUGGCGGCUUAUCAGCUUAUUGGUGGGGUUGUGGCUUACCAAGGCUAUGACGGGUAGCCGGCCUGAGGGGGUGACCGGCGACAUUGGCACUGAGAUACGGCACAGACUCCUACUGGAGGGAGCAGUGGGGAAUAUUGCACAAGGGGCGGAGGCCUGAUGCAGCAACGCCGCGUGCGGGAAGACGGCCUUCGGGUUGUAAACCAAAUUCGCCUGUGACGAAGCGUGAGUGACGGUAACGGGUAAAGAAGCCCCGGCUAACUACGUG